GACUCUGUAACUCAGUUGGUUAGAGUAUCACGUUAACACAAAUCGUGAUCAACGGUGUCAACCGUGAAAGUCCCCGGUUCGAGUCCGGGCAGAGUCA
rnacentral:tRNA from 2 species